UAUCAGAGCUUCAUUUAGAUGGGAUUGCAAUUAAAGAACUGCCUUCGUCAAUUAAUAAACUCACGGGCCUUACUGUUUUGGACCUAUCUGGGUGUCAAGAACUCAAGAGCCUGCCGAGCAGCAUUCAUAUGAGAUCUCUUCAAACCCUUAAUCUUUCUGGUUGCUCAAACCUUGAGAAGAAGUUUCCUGAGAUUUCAGAUGUUAUGGAGAAGCUAUCAGAGUUAUAUUUAGGUGGGACUGCAAUUAAAGAACUGUCUUCGUCAAUUAAUAAACUCACGGGUCUUCCUGCUUUGGACCUACGUGGCUGUCAAGAACUCAAGAGCCUGCCGAGGAGCAUUCAUAUGAGAUCUCUUCAAACCCUUAAUCUUUCUGGUUGCUCAAACCUUGAGAAGUUUCCUGAGAUUUCAGAUGUUAUGGAGAAGUUAUCAGAGUUAUAUUUAGGUGGGACUGCAAUUAAAGAACUGUCUUCAUCAAUUAAUAAACUCACGGGCCUUGCUACUUUGGACCUACGAGGCUGUCGAGAACUCAAGAGCCUGCCGAGCAGCAUUCAUAUGGGAUCUCUUCAAACCCUUAAUCUUUCUGGUUGCUCAAACCUUGGGAAGUUUACAGAAAUUUCAGAUGUUAUGGAGAAGCUAUCAGAGUUAUAUUUAGCUGGGACUGCAAUUAAAGAACUGUCUUCGUCAAUUAAUAAACUCACGGGCCUUACUGUUUUGGACCUAUCUGGGUGUCAAGAACUCAAGAGCCUGCCGAGCAGCAUUCAUAUGAGAUCUCUUCAAACCCUUAAUCUUUCUGGUUGCUCAAACCUUGAGAAGUUUCCAGAGAUUUCAGAUGUUAUGGAGAAGCUAUCAGAGUUAUAUUUAGAUGGGACUGCAAUUAAAGAACUGCCUUCGUCAAUUAAUAAACUCACGGGCCUUACUGUUUUGGACCUAUAUGGGUGUCAAGAACUCAAGAGCUUGCCGAGCAGCAUUCGUGUGGGAUCUCUUCAUACCCUUUUUCUUUCAGGCUGCUCAAAACUUGAGAAGUUUCAUGAGAUUUCAGAUGUUGUGGAGGAGCUAUCAGAGCUUCAUUUAGAUGGGACUGCAAUUAAAGAAUUGCCUUCGUCAAUUAAUAAACUCACAGGUCUUCUUACUUUGGACCUACGAGGCUGUUCGAGAACUCAAGAGCCUGCCGAGCAGCAUUCAUAUGGGAUCUCUUCAAACUCUUAAUCUUUCUGGUUGCUCAAACCUUGAGAAGUUUACAGAGAUUUCAGAUGUUAUGGAGAAGCUAUCAGAGUUAUAUUUAGCUGGGACUGCAAUUAAAGAACUGUCUUCGUCAAUUAAUAAACUCACGGGCCUUAUUACUUUGGACCUGAAAGGUUGUCGAGAACUCAAGAGCCUGCCGAGCAGCUUUCAUAUGGGAUCUCUUCAAACCCUUAAUCUUUCUGGUUGCUCAAACCUUGAGAAGUUUCCAGAGAUUUCAGAUGUUAUGGAGAAGCUAUCAGAGUUAUAUUUAGAUGGGACUGCAAUUAAAGAACUGCCUUCGUCAAUUAAUAAAACUCACGGGCCUUACUGUUUUGGACUUAUAUGGGUGUCAAGAACUCAAGAGCUUGCCGAGCAGCAUUCGUAUGGGAUCUCUUCAUACCCUUUUUCUUUCAGGCUGCUCAAAACUUGAGAAGUUUCCAGAGAUUUCAGAUGUUAUGGAGAAGCUAUCAAAGCU
rnacentral:lncRNA from 1 species